rnacentral:misc_RNA from 1 species
UUUCCGUAGGUGAACCUGCGGAAGGAUCAUUAUUGAAACUUCAUCCGGGGCGCCGCGGCCCUCAGCACCGGUGGAAACGCCGUGUUGCGGGGGCCGCGCGUGCACCCGUCCAAACCAAACCCCUGUGAACCUUACGGGAUGGCCUGGGUUAGCGCCCGGUGCCGUUCCGCUUUAUACAAACACUUAUCAAAGAAUGAACUGAAGGCGGUCUGACCGCUGGAUAACAAGACUGAAACAACUUUCAACAACGGAUCUCUUGGCUCUC